AUAAAGUAAGAGGGGCGGGUGCUCCCAAACUGAAUUAGAUUUAGUACAAAUGGGAAUGGCACAAGGGUCAAUAUUGGAAGUUUGUAAAGCCAAACGUGUCUUGUGACUUGAUGCUUCUCUGAAGGCAGCGGCUCAUAAAGCCAACGCGUUGUUACAGGGAUGCAUGGAAUGCAGGGAUACAGUGUGGAAACGCGUUGGCUUUAUGAAAUGUACACACAGGGCGCCACAUAAGCUUACCUUCAAGCAGACAGUACAAAUGUCAUUUAUAAUGAAUACAAUUGAGCUGUACACUCUGGCAGCUCCCCAUUCUUCUAUUAUUUGCUGUGGGAUGAGAGGCCAAGUUAACACAUUGUUUCCCAGAGCCCUGGAUAAAGCCACACGUUACACUCAUCCCCUCUUCCUCUUACACUAGUGGUACAGCCCAUUCAUUCCUUCAAUGAAGUAAACACAGAGGCCUGUGAGCUACAGCUGAGCCUGAGGUUUGCGUGAGGGGCAACCAAGCAGCAGCAGCAGUAAGAGCAAUGUGAGCAGCUCAGCUGUACCGGGACACACACACCGGCGUAAAGCGAGGAUAGAUUUAAAGAUGGCGGCGGCGGCACCACAAAGGAAGACAGAGCCGGCCUUUCUCAUUAUCUAUAGAAGAGCAGCAGUGUCUCACGCACGGGCACUAGAGAGGCGGGUGACGGUCGGUCUGGAUAAGCUGCUGUCAUUUUGCCUUGUUCUUUCUGGCCUGAAACUUCAGCUGCACUAGUACCAUCAGAUUCUACUAUUCAUCAGCGUCAUUGUGAUCAUUCUCUUAUGUGCUGGCCUUUCCCUGAAGUGGAGGGAAGAAUGGAGAACCGUAUAGAUAUCUACAUACAGGUUAGUGAUGUGCGGGCCGACCCGAUACCCACGGGACCUGUGUGUAAGGAAUGCACACAAGUAUAUUGUCUGUCAUUGUGCAAACAAGAGUAUCCAGGUGGGAAUCCACUCGAUAAUGUAAUAAGGAGGGGUUUUAAAGGUUUGGGCUGUGGGGAGAGGGGUCACAGACAUCAGCUUGGUAUGAUCAGCUCACUUGAUUAAAUCCAGAAACAUAUCAACCCCCCCCCAUGUGACUUCAGCAUUAAUAAGCAAUUAAUAGAGACGCAAGCUGCAGCACGGCACAGAAACCAAUGCAGUCUGCAUCAUACACUAAUGACUUUAAUAUGGGAAGGCGAUUGCUCUCACCUCCGAGCUCAGGAAUAGUUGUCACUUAUCAGCCUUCUCUUUGCUUAGCCCUUGGCUUUUAUUUGACUCUUUCAGUCACAAUGUCCUUACCAGCAGCAACUCCUACCUCCAGUACCACGGUUACCCGGUUACCCUGCUUACCCAGCUCCUGGGCCCGGCUUAUUAUAUUAUUCCCACAUUGUUCGACCUCAGGCCCUCACUCUCUGCUGUCAGGGUUCGAAGUACCUCACUGCAGCCGCCAAGUUUUCAAAAUACGAAAGCUUAGGCUUGGCCAAUCAGAAGGAGGCUACAUGCUGGGCUGUCUGCUACGCAAAACGCCAUGCCCUCGUUCCGUCUAUGUUUUGGGCACGCUCAGGCCAUACUGUAGUGCACCAAUAGGAGUUCACGCAGGCCAUGCAAGUCAAGCCCACUUCUCCCGCCAUUUAGCGUCACGUAUUCUAAUAAAAGUAUCGGCUUCUUUGCUAAUCUGAGGGCAUUAUAUAUUAUGGGUAUGGCACUGGAAGGGAAAUAUGUGGUUAAUGGUCUGCUAGCCGUGGUAACCUCCCACCUCCUUGUGCUUAUAGAUUGCGCCUGGUGUGAAACACAAGCGUGUUUUUUGGCGCAGUCCGGCAGGCUCAGUGUUAAAGAAAGGGGGACGUUAUCUAAUGAGAGGAGUUGGCAUGAGGCAAUUUUUAAGCAGUUUCCGCUGUUGCUCAUAUACAACUCCCAGUGUUGGACUCCGUGUUCACAUCCAUGAUGGAUAUAAUACUGCAAGAGUAUAAUUUACACAAAAAUAAUGUCCAGAAUCAAUUUAUUUACGUACCCCAAGGAGCUAUUAUUCUGGGGACCUUGACAACUGUACCCAAAGUGUCCCCUUCGUUAAUACUUCUUUUAUACUUUAAUUAUGUACUUUUGCAUACUUUUAUUUAUGUACCCCGUGGGGGCUAUUAUUCUGGGGACCAUGACAAGUGUCCCCUUCAUUAAAACUUCAUCCAAGUCAUCUUUAUUAUCCUGCCUGUCUCCCAGUUAAUGCUCAUGCGAGUUUUAUUCUCUUUAUUGCACUGAGGAGCGUAUCUGUUUCCAGAAUCAGGAGAAUCUGAAAGAACAAGGCACAGUAGCUGAGCGACAAGGCCUGUAAUAUAAAGACCAACCCUGGUUUCGAGAAGGAUGGAAAGGCUAAAGAUGUUCAGCAGUCACAGAGGUGAUGUCCCUUUAUAAAUGGAUAGUAGCUCUAACUGCAAAUGAUGAGAAUCAAAAAAUGGGAUACAGCUAUUUCUCCCUUACAAAAUUUUGGACUUCUAGCUAAUUUAGCGUAUUAUAUCUCCAGUAAUAAAGAAAUAUAAGAGUAAUAAAUGGAAUGUGCCAAGAAUAAACUCAUUUUAUCCUUGGUAGUAGCAUAUAUUGUUCUGCCUUUUUACAGAACAUAUAAUCAGCUCAGUGUCCGUACUGAACAGUAGCUUUAAUUGGGGACUUCAAGGAUGAAGUAUACACAACACUGUUUAUUAGUGUUAAUGAGCUUGUAUUUUCUCUCAGCUUAAAGGAUCCCGAACGCCCUCAUGUCCCAAAACUGUCGUGGUGGUUGGAACUGAGGAGUUUUAAGAAAUUUUUAUUUUUUACAAAGACCUAUUAACUAAAACAGCUGCAACAGUACUCCCUGUACCCUUCUGAAGGUGGCCAUACCUCUAUUUUCAGAGGCUGUUGAAACUGUGCCCAGACAGCGGCAACAUAAGGUCAACGGAACUUUGAAGACUGAAUUUUAUGCUUAGAGGGAGGUAAAUUAUGUUACAAUCAAAUCUGUAAUCAAUAUAUGUCCUUACCAUGUGUACAAUAAAUGUUACCAUAUAAACCAA